ACUUAGCCUGUGUGGGUCUCCAUUCUUCAACUUUAAAAUGAGGGCCUUGGACUAAGUGA
ensembl:miRNA mdo-mir-12385 mdo-mir-12385